CAUAAACGAUGCCAACUAGUGAUCCGGCUGUGUUCCUCAAAUGACACACUGGACAGCUUCCGGAAAACCAAAGCUUUUGGAU
rnacentral:rRNA from 1 species